GGGGUAUAUGUAAAGUACAAGGGAGUUGCGAAAAUAAAAGAUCUCAUUGUCAGGUAGCCCAAGAGAAAGUCGUGUGUGAGCAAGUGUGUCCUAAACUAGAAAGCACAUAAAAGAUUACAAUUUAUCUUGAUUCUUGAAUGCUCCUUCCAUGUUAGGGUUGAAUGAUUGUCCAAGGUCUUUUGCAAGGGUCCUAACAACAAUCUCUAAGUCCAUUACAUGUUUGAGAAUUAUCUUUUUUAUUUUCGUAUUUUUUAAGUUUUAUUCUUUUUUAGGUCCUUUUUUAGAUGAAGAAUGAAUAUGUACAAUAUAAAGCAAAAUAAAACAAUAUAAAGUAAAUUACAAGAAUUAAAUAUUAGAAUCGGAAAUUAAAUGUUAGAAGUUAAUGGUUAAUGUUAGGAAUUAAUAUUAAUCAAGACAAAUGUCAAGAGGAUCGAAGUCAAAUAUUAAAACAAUUCUAAUAUUGUGAAACAAUUAUCAAAGAUCAAAAUCAAAUGAAGUUCUAAACCUAAAACAAUCACCGAAACAAAUUCUAAAUUUACAAACAAAUAUCAAAAAUAAAUCCUAAAAUUAAUUCUAACAUCAAGUUCAAAAUAAUAUUCUAAAUCAAAUGCUAAAAUAUAAUUCAAGGCGAAUCUACCAUUAAUAUUCUAACAUUCUAAUCUAAACUAGUCAACAUGAUUAACCUAAUCAUAUAUUCUAAAAUUCUAGAAUUAUAGGACUAAUUCUAAAAUUCUAAAACUAGAUCUACUUCUAAGAUUAAAUCUAAUUCUAAGGUUAAGUUAAACUCUAAUUACCGUAAUACUCUAAUCUAAUGUUAUACUUGACACUUAAUCCAAUCUAUAAUCCAAUUAGCAAAAGGAAAGAACAAGAAAAAAAAAGGGAGACUGAUAUACCAAACACUCAGCCACGGGUGAGUCACUGAAGUCUAUGGUAUACGGAGGAAAGGGCCCACGGACUGGCCCAGGGAUCUCAAUACUCGCCGGCGGAGGAUACUAACACUUCGUUUGGGCUUUAGGCUUAAAACGCGUUUAGAACUCCACAGAUCUAGCAACUGAAGCCAAAAGAGACACCAGCAUCUCACGAGGGAACCAAGCAAGAAGCGACGGUACCUUCGCGACCGGAAUCCGGGAAACAUCGCGAUUCUUCCUCGGUCGCCCUCACGUCGUCCAUGAUCUUCGUAUUUGGAUUCCAUGUUUAACACCGUGGAUUCGUGCUUAACGGCCUUCUUCACAUCCGUUUCUUCUUUGUUAUCUAUGACUUGACAUACGCCGUCGCCGUUAUUGGUGUCGUCGGUUGUGGCAGACGCUACAGCGGCGAAGAGGAAGAAAGCGAGGAUAAGGCGAUGCUGGACGAAGGAUCUCAGAAGAAAUUUUGAGAGAGGAAGAAGAUUCGAGAAGGGAGAAACGGUUUUUUGAAAGAGGAGUUGCUCCCGAAGAAAACAUAAUUGCACUGUGGAAUCAGUUCUACGUUCCGUCCUUUACGCACUUGAAGUUUUGACGCUUUGGAGUUGUGGCUUUGGCUUAUGGCGCAUUUGCGUUUCUGUUGGCUUUUGUGCCGUGUUUUGAUGCAGCUUGGAAGCUGCGCUCGCAAGUCGUUUGGUAUUUGGCGGCUGCGAAGUUUAGCAGCUUCUGGUCAUGCGUUCCCAUUCCUUCACCUUAUUAUUAUUAUUAUUAUUAUUAUUAUUAUUAUUAUUAUUUAUUUUUUUAAAUAUUGGGCUGUGGGAAUUAACAUUGGAAAUGGAUUAGAAAGAUGGGUUAGAUUAAUGAAAGAUGGAUUGGAUUAAUAAACUUGGAUUUGUUGGAUAAAUGUACAAAUGGAUAACAAUAGAUAUUUGGAAUUGGUUUAA